GGCUCAGGAUGAACGCUAGCGGCAGGCCUAAUACAUGCAAGUCGGACGGGAUCCAUCGGUAGCUUGCUACCGAUGGUGAGAGUGGCGCACGGGUGCGUAACGCGUGAGCAACCUGCCCAUAUCAGGGGGAUAGCCCGGAGAAAUCCGGAUUAACACCGCAUGACACUGCUUUCCGGCAUCGGGAGGCAGUCAAAUAUUCAUAGGAUAUGGAUGGGCUCGCGUGACAUUAGCUAGUUGGUGGGGUAACGGCCCACCAAGGCGACGAUGUCUAGGGGCUCUGAGAGGAGAAUCCCCCACACUGGUACUGAGACACGGACCAGACUCCUACGGGAGGCAGCAGUAAGGAAUAUUGGUCAAUGGGGGCAACCCUGAACCAGCCAUGCCGCGUGCAGGACGACUGCCCUAUGGGUUGUAAACUGCUUUUGUUAGGGAAUAAACCCCACUACGUGUAGUGGGCUGAAUGUACCUAAAGAAUAAGGAUCGGCUAACUCCGUGCCAGCAGCCGCGGUAAU
rnacentral:rRNA from 1 species